UACGUAGGGUGCGAGCGUUGUCCGGAAUUAUUGGGCGUAAAAGAGCUUGUAGGCGGUCUGUCGCGUCUGCUGUGAAAAUCCGGGGCUCAACCCCGGACUUGCAGUGGGGUACGGGCAGACUAGAGUGCGGUAGGGGAGACUGGAAUUCCUGGUGUAGCGGUGAAAUGCGUAGAUAUGCGGAGGAACACCGAUGGCGAACGGCAAUCCC
rnacentral:rRNA from 1 species